rnacentral:rRNA from 1 species
UACGUAGGGUGCAAGCGUUGUCCGGAAUUAUUGGGCGUAAAGAGCUCGUAGGCGGUUUGUUGCGUCGGCUGUGAAAUCCCGAGGCUCAACCUCGGGUCUGCAGUCGAUACGAGCAAACUAGAGUGUUGCAGGGGAGACUGGAAUUCCUGGUGUAGCAGUGAAAUGCGUAGAGAUCAUGAGGAAGACCAGUGGCGAAGGCGGGUCUCUGGACAGUUCCUGACACUGAGGCACGAAGGCCAGGGGAGCAAACGGG